CAGAUCCUCCCUGAGAAGAAAAAGACAGAUGGGAUGAUGGAAUUCUGUGGCUGUGUUUCCUAGAGCAUUUACUAGAGAAGUUAUGACUCUUCCUAGUUACUGCUGGAUAUGUAUUUAGAAUACUUUCUGCCAUGACAACAGCAUGAGCUCAGUAGAAAAUCAGAGCUGAGAAUCCAGGAGCACUUCCAUAUAGAAGGCUGAUAUUUGACAUGAAGUACUUCGCAAUCGAGACACAGCAUUGUGGAAGCCAAUGCAGCAGAGGCAGAAGAUGGAGGCGUGCGGGCUCAGCAGGAACUGCAGAGAAAUGCAGAUUUGUGAAGGUGCAGAAGCUACACAGGGAGUUGGCCUGCAGGGUCCAGAUACAGGAAGGAUGGCAAAGAGGACAGAGUUGUAGCACCGAGAAAACAGUCAUGGAUGACCUGGGGAGAGCGGGAGAGACAGAGGAGCUCGGUGGUCAUACAUGCCUUCUUGGCUGACUUCCUGAUCGGUUGGGGAGCCCAGCCCCACUGAGUCAGCUGGGUACAGCUGUCUCGUAUGGAUACAUGGAGCUGGUGGGAACCAAGAUGGAGAGUGGAAUAGGGGACUGAGCCCUUUGGGAUAUUUUUAAUUAGGAAGAAAAAUGAGCAGAAAUACUGAGCUGCCAUCCUGAGGGCAAAUUUAUCGCCCUUUAUCUUUUUGUAGGC